rnacentral:rRNA from 1 species
UACAGAGGGUGCAAGCGUUGUUCGGAAUUAUUGGGCGUAAAGAGCGUGUAGGCGGCCAGGCAGGUCCGUUGUGAAAACUCGAGGCUCAACCUCGAGACGUCGAUGGAAACCGUCUGGCUAGAGUCCGGAAGAGGGAGAGUGGAAGUUCCUGGUGUAGCGGUGAAAUGCGUAGAUAUCAGGAGGAACACCGGUGGCGAAGGCGGCUACCUGGACAGAAACUGACGCUGAGGCGCGAAAGCUAGGGGAGCAAACAGG